UGGGAACCCAUUGAUAAUUCACAUUUCUCUUUUUUUUCUACAAUAUUUGCAGUUGUUGUCUCUACCAAUUAGCCUUACCAAGCCGGGCUCCUUCUAUCUCGUGUUAGAGCUUGGUAACGACGGCCACACAAUGACAAGUAUGUGGUUGAUGGAGGAAGCACGGGGAGGAGCAAAAACAAAUGGUGAUGGAGGAGGAAAAACAAAUGGCUAUCUCCAUGUACAAGGGGCUCAUUGGUCGCUUGGCCUGCUUUUGGUAUAUCAAUGACGAUAUCCCUGACAUAAAUUCGUUUAGUGACAGGUAAUUCUAUACAUCAGCUGUUCUGUGUGCCUGCUACUGUUUGCUUGGCUUGGUAACCGUCUUCAUGCCUUUCGCUCUUUUCAACAGUCUUGGAGAGAAAUUUACUACUGUCGAUGCACACACUCAUUCUGGGUAGAAUCUGAACUCGAGUGCUGAUUGUUUCUCGAUUUCACGCCACUUCUUCUCCACCGCCCCCUUGCUCAGGCAUCAACAGCUUGUUGCCAUGGUUUGAAUCACACAUGUUCAGUUGAAUGGAUAUCUAAGAGGACCAAGGUGAUGUUGUUGUGAGAUAUUUGCAAAGGGAGGACAACCUACAAAUAUUGACCGAUAAAUUAUCCAUCAUAUGUAUCUUUCAUCCCACCACCCCCGCAUCAUCCUCUCCCUCGUGCUGAUUUGUUGCCCGAUCGUGCAGACAACAUAGCAAUGGCCAUUUGUCGGGUUGUUGUUGCCUUUGGGUUGCUCACUGUAUCGACUGUCUUGUGAUUCCCCACCUGCUUGCCCUGCAUAUUUUCCAUUUGAUGAAAUGUAUACUAGCUAACUCCAUGUUCUUCUAUCAUUUUAUUUUACUUUGCAGGUUCUACUAUUUGUGACGUGCUUCUUGUUGAUCAUCUGCUGCUUUGGCACGUCAAGGUUUGUGUUUUUCCUUUCCUUAGCAAUGUAUUGUUUCCUUACUGACGCAAUGGACAGCCAUUCAAAUCCAAUGGUU